rnacentral:rRNA from 1 species
UACGAGGGGUGCAAGCGUUGCUCGGAAUUAUUGGGCGUAAAGGGUAGGUAGGUGGUCUCGUUUGUCUGGGGUGAAAGCCUUGAGCUUAACUCAAGAAGUGCCUUAGAAACGGCGAGACUGGAGUCUUGGAGAGGGUCGUGGAAUUCCCGGUGUAGCGGUGAAAUGCGCAGAUAUCAGGAGGAACACCGAUGGCGAAGGCAGGUCUCUGGGCCAUUACUGACACUGAGAAGCGAAAGCAUGGGGAGCGAACAGGAUUAGAA